AAUUCGAUUAGAGUUUGAUCCUGGCUCAGAUUGAACGCUGGCGGCAUGCCUUACACAUGCAAGUCGAACGGUAACAGGUCUUCGGAUGCUGACGAGUGGCGAACGGGUGAGUAAUACAUCGGAACGUGCCCGAUCGUGGGGGAUAACGAAGCGAAAGCUUUGCUAAUACCGCAUAAGAUCUACGGAUGAAAGCAGGGGACCGCAAGGCCUUGCGCGAACGGAGCGGCCGAUGGCAGAUUAGGUAGUUGGUGGGAUAAAAGCUUACCAAGCCGACGAUCUGUAGCUGGUCUGAGAGGACGACCAGCCACACUGGGACUGAGACACGGCCCAGACUCCUACGGGAGGCAGCAGUGGGGAAUUUUGGACAAUGGGCGAAAGCCUGAUCCAGCCAUGCCGCGUGCAGGAUGAAGGCCUUCGGGUUGUAAACUGCUUUUGUACGGAACGAAAAGACUCUGGUUAAUACCUGGGGUCCAUGACGGUACCGUAAGAAUAAGCACCGGCUAACUACGUGCCAGCAGCCGCGGUAAUACGUAGGGUGCAAGCGUUAAUCGGAAUUACUGGGCGUAAAGCGUGCGCAGGCGGUUAUAUAAGACAGAUGUGAAAUCCCUGGGCUCAACCUGGGAACUGCAUUUGUGACUGUAUAGCUAGAGUACGGCAGAGGGGGAUGGAAUUCCGCGUGUAGCAGUGAAAUGCGUAGAUAUGCGGAGGAACACCGAUGGCGAAAGGCAAUCCCCUGGGCCUGUACUGACGCUCAUGCACGAAAGCGUGGGGAGC
rnacentral:rRNA from 1 species